rnacentral:rRNA from 1 species
CGCCUGUUUAUCAAAAACAUCGCCUUUGGGAAAGAUCAAAGGUCCUGCCUGCCCGGUGAUUUAUUUGAAAUUAAACGGCUGCGGUACUCUGACCGUGCAAAGGUAGCAUAAUCAUUAGCCUGUUAAUUUCAGGCUGGAAUCAAUGGCAAGACGAAGAAAAAGCUGUCUCUUUAUAUUAUGUUAGAAUUUUUCGUUUUGGUUAAGAGACCAAAAUAGUUAAGUGGGACGAGAAGACCCUAUUGAGCUUUAAUUCUUUAAUAGAUUAUCAGUUUUAAUGGAGAAUUUUGGUUGGGGCAACGGUUUUUUUAAUUAAACAAAAAAGUAAAGGAUGAAUUGAUUCUUAGUUUGACCUAAUUAAUAUAUUUUAGAAAAUAGAAAAAGUUACCAUAGGGAUAACAGCGUAAUUCUUUUUGAGAGUACUUAUUGACAAAGGAGUUUGCGACCUCGAUGUUGGAUCAGGUUAACCUAGAGGUGCAGCCGCUUCUAAGGGUUGGUUUGUUCAACCAUGAAAAACUUACGUGAUCUGAGUUCAGACCGG